CACGUAGGUGGCAAGCGUUGUCCGGAUUUACUGGGCGUAAAGAGCGCGCAGGCGGUCGUUCAAGUCGCGUGUGAAAGCCCCCGGCUCAACUGGGGAGGGUCACGCGAUACUGAUCGACUCGAAGGCAGGAGAGGGAAGUGGAAUUCCACGUGUAGCAGUGAAAUGCGUAGAGAUGUGGAGGAACACCGAUGGCGAAGGCAGCCCCUGGGCUAACACUGACGCUCAUGCACGAAAGCGUGGGGAGCAAACAGG
rnacentral:rRNA from 1 species